ACGGAAGGCAGCAGCUAAGAAUAUUCCGCAAUGGACGAAAGUCUGACGGAGCGACGCCGCGUGGAUGAUGAAGGUCGAAAGAUUGUAAAAUCCUUUUAGGAGUGAAGAAUAAGAGGUGCAGGGAAUGGCAUCACGGUGACGGUAGCUCCUGAAUAAGCACGGGCUAAUUACGUGCCAGCAGCCGCGGUAACACGUAAGUUGCGAGCGUUGUGCGGAAUUAUUGGGCGUAAAGGGUAUGUAGGCGGUCGUGCAAGCUUGGUGUGAAAGGAAGGGGCUCAACCCUUGGACUGCAUUUAGAACUGCAAGACUUGAAUUGCGGAGAGGCAGGCGGAAUUCCAAGUGUAGGGGUGAAAUCUGUAGAUAUCUGGAAGAACACCAAUGGCGAAGGCAGGCUGCUGGCAGAUGACUGACGCUGAGGUACGAAAGUGCGGGGAGCAAACAGGAUUAGAUACCCUGGUA
rnacentral:rRNA from 1 species